rfam:Capsicum annuum cultivar Zunla-1 chromosome 6, whole genome shotgun sequence
UAGUGAUGCAGGCAAUCUCUAAUAACAUACUUGAAUCUCUCCUAUGUAUGAUAGAGACUUGUAUCCAACUUCUACUUGAAACUAAAGAUCUCACUUCUCAACCU